rnacentral:rRNA from 1 species
CUGGUUGAUUCUGCCAGUAGUCAUAUGCUUGAAUCAAAGAUUAAGCCAUGCAUGUCUAAGUAUAAGCACUUUAUACUGUGAAACUGCGAAUGGCUCAUUAAAUCAGUUAUCGUUUAUUUGAUAGUACCUUACUACAUGGAUACCUGUGGUAAUUCUAGCGCUAAUACAUGCUGAAAACCUCGACUUCGGAAGGGGUGUAUUUAUUAGAUAAAAAACCAAUGCCCUUCGCGGCUCCUUGGUGAAUCAUAAUAACUUAUCGAAUCGCAUGGCCUUGCGCCGGCGAUGGUUCAUUCAAAUUUCUGCCCUAUCAACUUUCGAUGGUAGGAUAGUGGCCUACCAUGUUGGCAACGGGUAACGGGGAAUUAGGGUUCGAUUCCCGAGAGGGAGCCUGAGAAACGGCUACCACAUCCAAGGAAGGCAGCAGGCGCGCAAAUUACCCAAUCCCGACACGGGGAGGUAGUGACAAUAAAUACUGAUACGGGGCUCUUUUGGGUCUCGUAAUUGGAAUGAGUACAAUCUAAAUCCCUUAACGAGGAACAAUUGGAGGGCAAGUCUGGUGCCAGCAGCCGCGGUAAUUCCAGCUCCAAUAGCGUAUAUUAAAGUUGUUGCAGUUAAAAAGCUCGUAGUUGAACCUUGGGUCUGGCUGGCCGGUCCGCCUCACCGCGAGUACUGGUCCGGCUGGACCUUUCCUUCUGGGGAAUCUCAUGGCCUUCACUGGCUGUGGGGGAACCAGGACUUUUACUGUGAAAAAAUUAGAGUGUUCAAAGCAGGCCUUUGCUCGAAUACAUUAGCAUGGAAUAAUAGAAUAGGACGUGCGGUUCUAUUUUGUUGGUUUCUAGGACCGCCGUAAUGAUUAAUAGGGAUAGUCGGGGGCGUCAGUAUUCAGCUGUCAGAGGUGAAAUUCUUGGAUUUGCUGAAGACUAACUACUGCGAAAGCAUUCGCCAAGGAUGUUUUCAUUAAUCAGGGAACGAAAGUUAGGGGAUCGAAGACGAUCAGAUACCGUCGUAGUCUUAACCAUAUACUAUGCCGACUAGGGAUCGGACGGUGUUUCUACUAUGACCCGUUCGGCACCUUACGAGAAAUCAAAGUUAUUGGGUUCUGGGGGAGUAUGGUCGUAAGGCUGAAACUUAGA